rnacentral:rRNA from 1 species
GGAACGAUAACGGCGUCGAGCGGCGGACGGGUGAGUAAUGCCUAGGAAAUUGCCCUGAUGUGGGGGAUAACCAUUGGAAACGAUGGCUAAUACCGCAUGAUGCCUACGGGCCAAAGAGGGGGACCUUCGGGCCUCUCGCGUCAGGAUAUGCCUAGGUGGGAUUAGCUAGUUGGUGAGGUAAGGGCUCACCAAGGCGACGAUCCCUAGCUGGUCUGAGAGGAUGAUCAGCCACACUGGAACUGAGACACGGUCCAGACUCCUACGGGAGGCAGCAGUGGGGAAUAUUGCACAAUGGGCGCAAGCCUGAUGCAGCCAUGCCGCGUGUGUGAAGAAGGCCUUCGGGUUGUAAAGCACUUUCAGUCGUGAGGAAGGUAGUGUAGUUAAUAGCUGCAUUAUUUGACGUUAGCGACAGAAGAAGCACCGGCUAACUCCGUGCCAGCAGCCGCGGUAAUACGGAGGGUGCGAGCGUUAAUCGGAAUUACUGGGCGUAAAGCGCAUGCAGGUGGUUUGUUAAGUCAGAUGUGAAAGCCCGGGGCUCAACCUCGGAAUAGCAUUUGAAACUGGCAGACUAGAGUACUGUA